rnacentral:rRNA from 1 species
GACGAACGCUGGCGGCGUGCCUAAUACAUGCAAGUAGAACGCUGAAGGAGGAGCUUGCUUCUCUGGAUGAGUUGCGAACGGGUGAGUAACGCGUAGGUAACCUGCCUGGUAGCGGGGGAUAACUAUUGGAAACGAUAGCUAAUACCGCAUAAUAGUAGAUGUUGCAUGACAUUUGCUUAAAAGGUGCAAUUGCAUCACUACCAGAUGGACCUGCGUUGUAUUAGCUAGUUGGUGGGGUAACGGCUCACCAAGGCGACGAUACAUAGCCGACCUGAGAGGGUGAUCGGCCACACUGGGACUGAGACACGGCCCAGACUCCUACGGGAGGCAGCAGUAGGGAAUCUUCGGCAAUGGACGGAAGUCUGACCGAGCAACGCCGCGUGAGUGAAGAAGGUUUUCGGAUCGUAAAGCUCUGUUGUAAGAGAAGAAUGAGUGUGAGAGUGGAAAGUUCACACUGUGACGGUAUCUUACCAGAAAGGGACGGCUAACUACGUG